rnacentral:rRNA from 1 species
UACGGAGGGAGCUAGCGUUGUUCGGAUAUACUGGGCGUAAAGCGCACGUAGGCGGCGCCGUAAGUCAGGGGUGAAAUCCCGGAGCUCAACUCCGGAACUGCCCUUGAAACUGCAGUGCUAGAAUUCUGGAGAGGCGAGUGGAAUUCCGAGUGUAGAGGUGAAAUUCGUAGAUAUUCGGAAGAACACCAGUGGCGAAGGCGACUCGCUGGACAGACAUUGACGCUGAGGCACGAAAGCGUGGGGAUCAAACAGG